GGGGGAAUAUUGCACAAUGGGCGAAAGCCUGAUGCAGCGACGCCGCGUGAGGGAUGACGGCCUUCGGGUUGUAAACCUCUUUCAGUAGGGACGAAGCGCAAGUGACGGUACCUGCAGAAGAAGGACCGGCGAACUACGUGCCAUCAGCCGCGGUAAUACGUAGGGUGCGAGCGUUGUCCGGAAUUACUGGGCGUAAAGAGCUCGUAGGCGGUUUGUCACGUCGUCUGUGAAAUCCUAGGGCUUAACCCUGGACGUGCAGGCGAUACGGGCUGACUUGAGUACUACAGGGGAGACUGGAAUUUCUGGUGUCGCGGUGGAAUGCACAGAUAUCAGGAAGAACACCGAUGGCGAAGGCAGGUCUCUGGGUAGUAACUGACGCUGAGGAGCGAAAGCAUGGGUAGCGAACAGG
rnacentral:rRNA from 1 species